UAAGAAUGAAUGAGAAUUGAGGAAAAUUAUAAUAGAGUGAUUCUAUUACGCCACGUAGGAUAGAGCUUAUUUUACUUUUAUAUAUAUAUAGAUUCUUAUAUCUGUAUAUAUAUAGAUUGAUUAAUUAAAUUGUCAUGUACGAGUGCUACAUCCUACCAACUAAUUUUUUUUUUACUUUUUUUUUCUUUUUGACCUUUUUUUUUCUCCCUUUUUGUUCCCCUUGAACAGAAUGAGUGACGCAUGCAUGCAUGCAAAACAAUCUUGGUCUAAUUCCAUUUCAGAAAUCUAUAUAUUAUAUAAAAGAUCA
rnacentral:lncRNA from 1 species